CCUGAUGCAGCCAUGCCGCGUGUGUGAUGACGGCCUUAGGGUUGUAAAGCACUUUCAGCAGGGAAGAUAAUGACAUUAACUGCAGAAGAAGCCCCGGCUAACUUCGUGCCAGCAGCCGCGGUAAUG
rnacentral:rRNA from 1 species